UACAGAGGUCUCAAGCGUUGUUCGGAUUUACUGGGCGUAAAGGGCGCGUAGGCGGCGUGACAAGUCACUUGUGAAAUCUCCGGGCUUAACCCGGAACUGCCAAGUGAUACUGUCGUGCUAGAGUGCGGAAGGGGCAAUCGGAAUUCUCGGUGUAGCGGUGAAAUGCGUAGAUAUCGAGAGGAACACCUGAGGUGAAGACGGGUUGCUGGGCCGACACUGACGCUGAGUGCGCGAAAGCCAGGGGAGCAAACGGG
rnacentral:rRNA from 1 species